UGUGAAAGUGGAAGGAAGCCUCAAAGCAAU
rnacentral:piRNA from 1 species